GGCACGCGUGCGGAGGCCCACACACCCUGAAGGCGGAGCCCCGGGUCGAGUGGCUGGCUCCCGGACCACCCAGCAGUCUGGAAGGAGCCCCUGUGUAGCUGGUACUGCCCUAGGAGACCGUAUACAUACUGAUAGCCUAAUGAUUGAAGGAGAAAUUCGGGAAAGGGAUCGCGUAUCCAGGAGGUAGAGCCUGUCUGCCAGGCAGUGGGGACCUCAAGAUCUGGAAUGUGGGUGGAUGCCCAGUGUGUACAGGAGGCUCCAGGAGGGAGUCAGAACACUGGAAGACAGGAACAGAAGGAUCAGAAAUUCAAGUCCAGCUUUGGAUAGAUGGCGCCAAGGCUAGCCUGGGCUACAUGAGAUCCUGUGUAAACUGCCCUCCCCCCCCCAAAAAAUAAAUGAAAUAAAACGAGUCAGCAGC
ensembl:lincRNA Gm13830 predicted gene 13830